GUAGCAACAAUAUCAACAAUAUGAUAUUGUUGCCCUAAAUUCUCGCAAUUUCUCUUUUUCUUGCUGCUUUUCUCUCUUCAUCGACGAUGCAAAGAUGAUGAAGUAGCCAGAGUUUGAUGUCAAAUUCAACUUCGUGACAGGCUUGAACUGAUUUGCACUUGUUGAUCAAUUCGAGUUCCUUCUGCUUCAAAAGUACUGGUCAUACCAUGAAUGACUGACCUCUCUCCAUAGUUGCACAAAUUAGGAAAGGUAUGAUUUCCAUUUCAGCUUCACCUGUUUUUCCUUCUUCUGCUUUGUUUCAAUUCGAUUGCACUAAUUUCUUGCAUUUCUAUGUACCUCUAUUGAAAAAACCUCUGCAUAUGUUGAUUUGGACACUCUACCCAUCUUAUUGUACUCUCCAACUGCACCUCUCCACUAUUGGUUAAGGAGUCGUUGACUCACAUUGAAACUCUUACUCGAUUGUGAUCCAAAGACAUCUACCAAACCUCGUAUUUAGCGUGAGGCUAGUUUUCGAUAGAUUCGAGGAUGAGCUCCUAUCCAUGCCAGCCGCCUUAAGAUCUUCUCUUAUUGAUGUCUAUUUCCAUUCCAGAUAUUACUUAUGUUAUUUCAGACAGUUGUUAUUUCCUUAGACAGUUUAGGUUUUAGAGUCCUUAUACGAUGACUUUCAGAUUUUGGGGUUGUAAUAGUUAGACUUCCGCAAUUGACAUUUAUU